AAGACUAUACUUUCAGGGAUAAUUCUAUAAAUUCAUUACUAGAGAAGUUUCUGUGACUGUGCAGAGCACCCAAAACCAUGAGGAGGAGACAUAGCGUUCUUUUCUGAGCAUGAAGUCGGCUCUUAGUGUUGUGUUCUGCUACUGCUUCUCGCCAUUGAUGAUUGUUCUCAAUCCUUUAUGAGGUUUGAAAGGGAGAGGACACAGGCUGAGUG